AAUUGCUGAUCCCUACUUGCCUUCUCCCCGAUCCCCUCUGCUCACGCGCUUCUUCCCUCUGCCAAGCCCUUUCUCUUCUCCGACGCCGACGACGCCACCAAGGGAAUUGAUCACCGGCGGCUGAGAACCUCCUUCAACCACCGUCCACCAGAUUUGGGAGAGGAUUUGUUGGUUCGGCGCCAUUGGAUCGAUUAAGUGCCAAACCGAUCGCCGACGAGGGUCUUCUACCGGAGUUUUGAGAGAGGGGCUAGCUUCAUCCGAGCUUUCUUCUUGCAGACCUAUGCCCUAGAUCGCCGGGAGUCGGGAGCUUGCAUCAACACCACUGUCGCCGAUGACAAGGGGUUGAUUGGUGUCUUGAAUUGCUUGAUUUCUUCUUGAUCCAAUUAAUUCCGGCGAGGUUCUAUUUAUGGGGAUUCAGUUGAAGAGGAGGUGUUUCUUGAGCUGUGGUUUGUGCUUGAUCAAUAGUCUUCCUGCUUGAUCCGAUUGAUAGUAGUGAGGUGAGGUUCUGCUCGGUUCUAUGGGGUGUUCCUAUUCCGGCAACCCUCCACCUAGUAGCUCCCCUGGUUUCCUCAAUCAACAGUGGUUGUUCAUUGAGGGUUCUUGUCUGGUCCAGCAGAUCACCUUGUUUUACAACAGCUUGCUCGAGGAAUAACUUUUGGAGUGAAAACGGUGAUUGUCGACGCAUCGGAGCAAAAGCAUAAAACAACUUGACACCGACCGUGCAACCUUGCACAGCCAUGUGGCCAUUCCCGAGAGAGAGCAGUACACGACCGUGUGACCUUGCACGGCCGUGCCUCAUGACCAAAGUCGAAGGAAGACAUGGUCGUGCAGAUCUCGCACGACCGUGCCACUCUACCCGAAGAAGGAGAGGAGCUGGCCGUGCGGAUCUCGCACGGCCGUGGCACGGGUCGUGCGGUGCCCGUGCCCUAGCCUAUAAAAGGGCUCUUAACUCUUCCCCUUGGAGGGGGGUGGGGAGCCGAAAAAGAGAGAUACACCUUGGUGUCGUUCCACGCUAUCCCGGACCUCUGUUCGACCAUCCAAGAUCACCUCCAUCACCGCAUUAACUCCAGAAGUAAAGGAUUGGAUCCAAAGAUCACUCGAUGUCAUUGAAUAAGCAUCUCUAUUCCCUCUCUCUUCUUAUCUGGGGAUUGAAUGUUUAAUUAUACUAUGUCUUUGGAUUUUUCCCCUGCAUCUAUGAAGUAGAUUCUUUGUUCUAGGAUCAGGGAGUAGUUGUGGAUAGGUUAUGAUGUAAGAUUCAUGCUUAUGCUUUUACUCAAUGAGUGUUUUCGCUUGUCUUGUUUCAAUUUG